rnacentral:rRNA from 1 species
GACGAACGCUGGCGGCGUGCCUAAUACAUGCAAGUCGAACGCAGUGGGGACGGGUGAGUAACACGUGGGUAACCUCCCAUCAGAGGGGAUAACACUAGGAAACAGGUGAUAAACUGAUACCUAUGGAUGGACCCGCGGUGCAUUAGCUAGUUGGUAAGGUAACGGCUCACCAAGGCCAGGAUGCAUAGCGGACCUGACAGGUGGAUCGGCCACACUGGGACGGAGACACGGCCCAGACUCCUACGGGAGGCAGCAGUAGGGAAUCUUCGGAAAUGGACGAAAGGCUGACCGAGCAACGCGGCGUGAGUGAAGAAGUUUUUCGGAUCGUAAAACGCUGUUGUUAGAGAAGCGGUAUCUAACCAGAAAGCCACGGCUAACUACGUGCCAGCAGCCGCGGUAAUUC